UACGGGGGGAGCAAGCGUUGUUCGGAAUCACUGGGCGUAAAGGGAGUCUAGGCGGUUUGGUAAGUGGGAUGUGAAAUGCCCGGGCUCACCCCGGGACCUGCAUCCCAAACUGCUGAGCUUGAGUACAGGAAAGGGUGGGGGAAUUCCAGGUGUAGCGGUGAAAUGCGUAGAUAUCUGGAGGAACACCGGUGGCGAAGGCGCCCACCUGGCCUGCUACUGACGCUGAAGCUCGAAAGCUAGGGGAGCAAACGGG
rnacentral:rRNA from 1 species